AAGUCGUAACAAGGUUUCCGUAGGUGAACCUGCGGAAGGAUCAUUCCCAAAAAGCUAAUUAAAAAAACUUUUUAACGAUUGUGUGAACAACAACCUUUUUUCCUUUUUUUAAAAUUAUUAACAAAAUAAAAGUAAAGUAAUUUACAAAAAUUUCAUUGAUUUUCUUGAGAGAGUUAAUCAAUAAAUCGCCAAAAUUUUCUAAAACAAAUAAAAAAACAAAAAAACAAAAAAAACAAAAAAGUACAACUCUUAACAAUGGAUAUCUCGGCUCUUGC
rnacentral:misc_RNA from 1 species